UUCUCGUGAACUCGUUCCUUGGUGCCACCUCUGCCCUCCUGUUAUAUAUAUAUAUAUUUCGACCUCCGCUCCAACCUCAACAACAUCUCACACCCCUUUCCUGUCUUGUCUCUUCCCGUCCAACAUGCCUCCGACCAAGGGUGGAAAGCGUCCGAUCCCGCUGGGGGGUAAGGGCAAGGGCAAGCGCUCGGCGGGUAAGGCACCUAAGUCAGGCGAUGAUCAAAAGCGCCGCCACAACCACAAACGCAGCCAGCACUGGGACCUGUACAUCCACCGCGCUCUGCGCCGCUUCUUUAAGCGCGGCACGCUGAGCAAGGCAGCCGUGCGCGUGCUUUCUUCCUUUAUUGAGGACAUGUUCAACCGCAUCCAGACCGAGGCCGUCUUUGUCGCCAAGAUCAACAAGGUGAAGACUCUGACAGCUCGCGAAAUCCAGACGUCGGCCCGUCUGCUGCUGCCGCCGGAGCUGGCGAAGCACGCCAUGAGCGAGGGCACCAAGGCUGUCGCCAAGUACAACGCUUCCCGCGGGGAGGCGUAUGCUCAGGGUGGCAUUUAGAGCGUGGCUCCGCUGCAAGCUACGCAAACGUUUGUUUACCCCUUUCGCCUUUACUCUUGCCCUUGUUAUGCUGUGCUUAUGUAGGCGUGACUCGUCUUCACGCACACGAGUGCCGAUGGCGGGUGUGCACCCGUUCUCCAUUUCUUUUCUUUUUGUCGCUUACUCUCCUUUCCAGACGCGUCAUAGAGCUGUUUUUGUUUUUCUUUCUCUGUUUUGUUUGGAGUGUGUGCUCCAUCGCUGAUGUGAAGUGGAUGGGGCAGCGAGCGACAACGGUGAGAGGGGCGUGCGGCUCUCUCAGUGAGACGGCUGUGCGUGCUGUGGUUGAUUUCUCUCCUUCUACGUCUUCGCGAUUUUUGCGUUUGUGAGAGUGCGUGUUUGGGUUGGCCUGCGUGUGCGCAUCGCUUGGUUUUUCUGUUGCUUCGGCGAGCACGCAUGCGCUUGCAUGGGUGUCUUCGCUUCUGUUCGCGCCGAUAUCGCUUGCUUGCUCUCUCUUUUUUUUUCGUUUCUUGCUUCCGACCGGUUUUCUGUGGUUUACUGCUGGAUGCUUCUGCGCACGGACGCAGAUGCCCGCUUCUCGAGAAAGCCUUUUUUUUUUACACGCGUCAUGCAAAGGCGGGCUGCGGUGUACAGCAGAUCAGCGUGGAGCUUCUCAACUCAAUCGGCGUAUCUCGUCUUAUACAAAUAUAUGUAUGCUCUUGUGCGUUUGUGUGCGUUUCGUUGUUGUUGCCGCUGUUGUCUUUGCGUGCUGAAGAUGAAAGACGAGGGGCUACGGUAAAGCACAGCAGGUAUAGAUGCUUUAGAGAGCCCUACUCAGGGAACAACCAAAAAAAAGCAACGUCUCGCCGUCUCUCUCCGAUGAAGAUUUGUUUACUAUCAAUGAGGUAUGUGUGGCUCACACGAACCAUGCCCGUGCUUGCGGCCGGGGGGAGGUGAGGGGGGGGCAGUGCGUUUCUAAGAGCUGCGUUGGUGUCUUGAGCUUACGCUUACUGCGUUGUCAAUGAGAGAGCAGAGCUCCGCGAGGCAAUGGCGCUGCCGGUCUGCGCCUUCGCUGCCCGUGCCAUCACCACCCGGCCGUCGUGCUGAUGGGUGAGCGGCGUCUCUUCCUCUACAGCUUCCUCUUCUGUAUGCCAUGCUCGCAUCACUCCUUCGCUCAUUUCUCUACCGUUCCUCCGUUGCUUUCGAACGCAUGGCCACCGUGCUGCAUGUGCCGGAGUGCAUGACAG
rnacentral:misc_RNA from 1 species